GAAGCAAUCCCAUAUCCACAUUUUAUUAUGCAUCAGGUAAUGCAUCCGACGUCAGGCAUCAUCCUUACAAAUAACUAUUCUUGACUAAUAGUAAUUCAUAAAAUUUCCUUAAUCAAGGAACCACAAAAUUUGAUCCAAGCUUACCCUUCUUCACUAUCCUCCUAUUCCCAUAGCGAAAAUUGCAAGGAGAGUUGCCCAAUAUCCAACCACAAGUAACUCGUACUAAAAGACAAACCAAAGGGAAUAAAAUGAAAACAAAAGGGAAAAUUACAAAAUCAGUUUAUUUAGGAAGACUGAUAACAGCGAGGAACAAUAAUAAAUUGAACGCCGCAUUAUACCCUAUAACCCCCCAUACCAAGCAUCUACUCAUGAGUGCCUUGUCUAACCCUAGUAUGUUACUUUGGCAUCUUCAUGUUUCUCACCAACUUUUUUACCUUUAUGAAUAUGAACCCUCCAGCCUCAACCUUGCGGUUAGCCAAUUACAGACUUCAUCUGUCUCUUCAGGGACUGUGUAGUGACCCAGCCCAUUGUAUGCUUUAAAUGUAAGAUUUCGAAAUCCAGCUGAAUUUAAGGUCUGUGCUGAUUUCUCUCCGUGCUUGUAUGCAACCACAUCAUCACCUGCAGCCAGAAAGUAAGAUAACAGGAGAAAUUUCACUUCUUCCUAUACUAUGACAGUCAGAUCUUUCAUUGGAGGUUGAGGCAUACCUCAAUAUUUGAUCACACUUCAUUUUUUAUCAAUUAUCAAGGAUUGAACAACAGAAUAUCAUUUUUGCUUCAUGUAACGUUACAGUUUUCUUCAUUGUUAAAAACAGUUUGUGCAUAUCAUAUCACUAGCCCCAGCAAACAAUUUUACAACUUUUUAUAAGAUAUUCUUGCAUUGAAUUACAAUAUAGUUGCUAAGAUACCCAACCAAUUUUUUUGCAACUCCACUUACCAUUUAUGUGAUGUCCACUUAAAACCCUUGUUUGACAUUUCAAAAAAGGACAAAUCUCAGCAACACUUGAACUGUUAACUGAGAUUAUAAAGAAAAUUUUGGUAUUUGAAUGAUUGAGCUGCAGAAGUAUUAAUGAGAACACAGCUGUUUAAUUGCACAUAACAAUCCAACAAAGAUCUGUCAUGGAUGGUAUCCAUCAAUAAUGUAUGCAUAAGAGUGUUUUUCUAUGUCCCUUUGAGAAUCACUUUUUUGUGUGCUUAACAAAGACUUAUUUUCAUUUUUUUAAGAGAUAAAGGAUGCUUAGACAGAAAAUGAGGUUUCAAUGCAAUAGCCUAACUGAGGCUCCGUUUGUUUUGCGAUAUUUUCGUGGAAAAUAUUUUUCGCAUUUUCUAGCAUUUGGAGCACUAAAGAAAAUGAGUGAAUAGAAAAUAUUUUCUUAGUCAAAUAGAAAACUAAGCCAUUUUUAAAAUGCAAAAACACUUGUACAUGCAACAUAAACAUAUACUAUUAAUUUAACGUACAACCAAACAAUGGAAAAUAUUUUCAUGGAAAACAUUUUCCCAUAAAAUAUUUUCCUAGAAGACAUUUUACAUAUACAAGUUAUUUUCUGUGAAACAAACGGAGCCUGAGAUUGACAUGAAGCACCUAAGAUGCAUAAUGGUUAUUAUUAGAUCAUCAGAAGUGCAAUUAGAAAAAAUUUUUAUUUUUUAGUUUAUAUCAAUCAAGCAUGUAAAACAAAAAGCUCCACAAUUAACAUUUAAUAAAAAGUGCUGUUCUUUUUCCCUUUUUUUGACCGAAGUCAGAAAGUGAAGGGCAUAAAUACGAGAGAAAGGAAGUAUCAAUAAAAUUGAGAAAAUGAAUGUUAAUACCUAAACCGUGACAGACCAGAACAGGCAAGGAUGCUGCAUGCCUUGCAGCUUCAUGUGAUCCUUCCAUGCGGCUCCUCAAAGUCCUUGCGCAUGGAAGCCAGCCACUUAGACCAACAACUGCAUUUAGGUUGACAGGAUACAAAUUUCCGUUUCCAUAUUGUCCUAUAACACGGCAUGUGGCUGAGUAGAGGGCAGUCGCAGCACCCAUGCUGAAGCCACCAACACCAAGUUUGACUGGAAAAUUGUGGUAUAUGAGUUACCAUAGAACAAAAAAGUGUACUGAGCAUCAACAUGGUAAUGAGCAGCACCCUUGAUAUAGAGAUUUGUGAUAAAAUACAAGUUGAAAAGAAAGACAUUAAUCAGACAACAAUAUAUCUAAGCAAGUAAAGAACACAUUCUUCACAGGCAUGGCAUAUGCCAUCCUUCCAUAUUCUCAUGCUAUUAGCAAAUUUCAAAAUUCUUGAGAAGCAAAAUUUCAGAAGUAUCAAUCAAUUUUGUGGUGUUUACAGCAUCAUACUGCUUUUUCUAAUGCCAGCAAAGUUCAAGGCAAACAAGACCAUAAUCAUUAAGGAAAGUUGUGUCAUAAAUAUUAUUCUGUCAUGAAAAUGCUGUCAGAUGAAGAUGUCAACAUAAUCAUAGAAGGGCAUAGGAAAGCAAAAUCAUUCACUGAAAUCUUGAAGCAACCUCAUGCAACAGUUUACCAAAGAAAUUGAUUGUGCUCAUUUGAUUUAAAUAAGAAGCACAAAAUGCCAAAUCACUCAUCAAUCAAUUGUAUGAUACAAUCCAAAAGAAAUAGGAAACCCAUAAAAGUAUUCCCAUCAGUUAGGAGACCCAGAUAAUUAGAGUUGCAAACCUGAAAAGUCUAUCAAAGAAAAUAACUUAUUGAUGUAGUACAACGAAAAUAAGAAUUGAUAAAUGGAAGGAAAAAAGGCUACCUGCGCCACUCUUAUUUUUCAACAAAUAGAAACACAAAUCAAAGAGUAGAAAUGGAAAAUAUUGCAAUGUAAUUAGCAAAAUGGGGGUAUAAUGCAGUCAAGUUGAGUCAAAAUAGAGUACUACUUAAACUCAACUUGAUUAGAAAUCUCAAAGCUUGAAAUUUGACUCAAACUUUAAGUUUUAUUCUUCAUACUCAAACUAGAGUAUUUUGAACUCCAAUUGAUAGGAUAUUCGAAACACUCUAGUUUUGGCUAAUGACCCUUCACCUUACCAGUUCAAAAGCUGGGCCAGUUUUGAAAACCUUGCCAUUUACCCCCUAGGCAAAACUCUUGAAUUGACACAUUAUGCAGGAUUAGCAUGUAGUACCUUUGAUAUGGUAAAACUACUUUAUGUAUACCACAUGUGUUAUGUAAGCCUACAUCAAGAGGCUUAAAAAUUCUAAGCCACUUACUAUCAGCAGGUUCUGUUGACAAAAGAUUGGCAACAUGUGCAGCUGAAGCAUCCAGGCCCUCCAAGUCAUCAGGACCAUCUUCUGAAAUAUCUCCCACAUCAAACCAAGCAGUGCAUGGAAAUCCACCAAAUAUUGCUACUGGUCUUGUUGGAGCAGUUGGGCAAAUCCAUUUAAUAUUUGGAAGA
rnacentral:misc_RNA from 1 species